UAACCGGACUGUUGGGUGAGAGCUCUCCUACCUCUGCGAGCGAGCGCCUUGGCUGUCUGGAUUUCUUUUUGGGUUACUCCUCCUGCCCUGUGUCCCGUGGGAUGGGAUGCGCUCUGCUCCGUGGAUCUCUCGGAGUGCUGGUCCUGGACCCGGAACUGGAAAUCAGCCUUAGAAUGUGGAGAACCCCUGCCGGACCAGGGCUGGCGUCCCUUUGAUGACUGAAGGCACGGGUCAUUUGGAAGAGUGGAAGCCUCAUCAGGCCCGGUCAGGCUUGAUAGAACAUCUGUUUGCGGGAGCUCAGUGGAGGUCUUGGAUAUUUUGUCUCAGCAACAGCAAAGUGACUAAUGUAGUCCUUGUGAUACUCGGAUGUGUCUGCCAGUAGCUGGCAAGUGGGCAAGAGAUCACAGGUUGGAGGACUUACCCUGGGGGUGGGGCUGUGACCUGAUCAUGGUGGGGAGGUGGCCAGAAGGCUGAAGAGGAGAGAAAGGGCCCCCUUCCAACUGGGGUCAGACUCUGCUGACCUGCGCAGACCACAUAGACCUUCUCGAGCUGGAGAUUCUAGAUGACUCACCUGACACUGCCAGGGCAGGAUUUUUCAUGCCCAGGUUACAGGGUUGGUAUUAACGGAGCACCUGCAGUUCUGGAAGAGGACGGUAACACUUUUCAACAUUUCUUAUGCCAGGCAAAGGGCUGAGGAGGAACAGAAGCUAUCUUUACUGAGCACCUACUCUGUGCUAGGCCUUGACCCAGGGUGCGAGGAGAAGCCAAAGUCCACACACAGGCAACAUAAAGACUAGGCAGUGUUGGUGAAGAUGAAAUAGCAAGAGUGAUAAGAAACGAGAGGAAAUGCUGAGGCUGAGGGAGCCAGGCUCCAUUUUUAUGCCAAAACUCUGGUGUUAGGACAUGAGAGGUGCCACUUUUAGAACAUGAU